AACGAACGCUGGCGGCGCGCUUAACACAUGCAAGUCGAACGGUCCCGAUAAAGCCGUAAGGUGAUAUCGGGGUAGUGGCAAACGGGUGAGUAACACGUGGAUAAUCUACCUUUGAGUGGGGGAUAACUCUGCGAAAGUGGAGCUAAUACCGCGAAGACUACAGAAUCGCAUGAUUCAGUAGUAAAAGGUUUUCGAUUUUCGGAGGUCGCUCAGGGAUGAGUCCGUGCCUGAUUAGCUAGUUGGUAGGGUAAUAGCCUACCAAGGCAACGAUCAGUAGCCGGCCUGAAAGGGUGUUCGGCCACACUGGAAUUGAGAUACGGUCCAGACUCCUACGGGAGGCAGCAGUGGGGAAUCUUGCGCAAUGGGGGAAACCCUGACGCAGUGACGCCGCGUGAACGAUGAAGUCCUUCGGGAUGUAAAGUUCUGUCAGGCGGGAAGAACUCCCUCGAUUGCAUCGGGGGAAUGACGGUACCGCCAGAGGAAGCACUGGCUAAUUCCGUGCCAGCAGCCGCGGUAACACGGAGAGUGCAAGCGUUGUUCGGAAUUACUAGGCGUAAAGAGCGUGUAGGUGGUUAGCUAAGUCGGAUGUGAAAAUUCCAAGCUCAACUUGGAACGUGCAUUCGAAACUGGUUAACUUGAGUGUAGGAGAGGAGAGCGGAAUUCCUAGUGUAGCGGUGAAAUGCGUAGAUAUUAGGAGAACACCGGUGGCGAAGGCGGCUCUCUGGCCUAAAACUGACACUGAGACGCGAAAGCGUGGGUAGCGAACAGGAUUAGAUACCCUGGUAG
rnacentral:rRNA from 1 species